rnacentral:rRNA from 1 species
AACGUGAAGUCCUUCGGGAUGAGUAAAGUGGCGCACGGGUGAGUAAUGCGUAGAUAAUCUGCCUGGUGAUCUGGGAUAACAUCUCGAAAGGGGUGCUAAUACCGGAUAAGCCCACGGAGUCUUCGGACUUUGCGGGAAAAGGGGGGGACCUUCGGGCCUUCUGUCACCAGAUGAGUCUACGUACCAUUAGCUAGUUGGUGGGGUAAGAGCCCACCAAGGCUACGAUGGUUAGCUGGUCUGAGAGGAUGAUCAGCCACACUGGAACUGAGACACGGUCCAGACUCCUACGGGAGGCAGCAGUGGGGAAUUUUGCGCAAUGGGGGAAACCCUGACGCAGCAACGCCGCGUGAGUGAUGAAGGCCUUCGGGUCGUAAAGCUCUGUCAGAGGGAAAGAAAUGUGGGUGGCUAAUAUCCAUUCCGCUUGACGGUACCCUCAAAGGAAGCACCGGCUAACUCCGUGCCAGCAGCCGCGGUAAUACGGAGGGUGCGAGCGUUGUUCGGAAUUAUUGGGCGUAAAGCGCGUGUAGGCGGUUUUAUAAGUCUGAUGUGAAAGCCCCGGGCUCAACCUGGGAAGUGCAUUGGAAACUGUAAGACUUGAGUACGGGAGAGGGCAGUGGAAUUCCUAGUGUAGGAGUGAAAUCCGUAGAUAUUAGGAGGAACACCGGUGGCGAAGGCGGCUGCCUGGACCGAUACUGACGCU